rnacentral:rRNA from 1 species
GAUGAACGCUGGCGGCGUGCCUAAUACAUGCAAGUCGAGCGAACAGACGAGGAGCUUGCUCCUCUGACGUUAGCGGCGGACGGGUGAGUAACACGUGGAUAACCUACCUAUCAGACUGGGAUACUUUCGGGAAACCGGAGCUAAUACCGGAUAAUAUAUUGAACCGCAUGGUUCAAUAGUUAAAGACGGUUUUGCUGUCACUUAUAGAUUGAUCCGGGCCGCAUUCGUUAGUUGGUAAGGUAAAGGCUUAGCAAGGCAACGAUGGGUAGCCGACCCGAGAGGGACGACGGCCACAUGGUAACUGAGGCAGGGCCCAGACACCGACGGGGGGCAGCAGUCGAGAAUCUUCCGGAAGGGGGGAGUGCCGGACGGAGCAACGCCGCGGGAAUGAUGAACGUCCUCGGAUCGUAAAACGCUGUUAUUAGUGAAGAACAAAUGUGUAAGUAACUAGGCUCGUAUUGACGGUACCUAAUCAGAAAGCCACGGCUAACUACGUG